CGUGGCCAGAUGAUAGAGGGCGGACCAGUGGGUUAGAGACAGUGAUCCUGAGAUUUGUGUACAUGCUGGUUGAAGACCGGAGCCUGGUCAAGGCCUGGGCCCUCUGCAGGGCUUCCCCGACAAGCCUGGAUCCAGGUCCUCAACGCCACUGCCCCCAGACUGCAGACCCCCAAAAUAAACAAGGGUUAUAUUUCUAUCAUGUGUGAAGAAGGGGCAUGGCAAGUUACAGUCCUGGGUCCAUAUAUCUCUUCAUUUAAUCUGUGAACUGUACCCCUGAUGAAUUCCUUAUAGGAAGAAAACGCGUUGGAUUUUUAUGGAAGUAUUUGUACAAAUGAAC